GGGCCUGUAGCUCAGUUGGUUAGAGCGCACCCCUGAUAAGGGUGAGGUCGGUGGUUCGAAUCCACUCAGGCCCA
rnacentral:tRNA from 5 species